GAUGAAGAACGCAGCGAAAUGCGAUAAGUAAUGUGAAUUGCAGAAUUCAGUGAAUCAUCGAAUCUUUGAACGCACAUUGCGCCCGCCAGUAUUCUGGCGGGCAUGCCUGUCUGAGCGUCAUUUCAACCCUCAUGCCCCUAGGGCGUGGUGUUGGGGAUCGGCCAAAGCCCGCGAGGGACGGCCGGCCCCUAAAUCUAGUGGCGGACCCGUCGUGGCCUCCUCUGCGAAGUAGUGAUAUUCCGCAUCGGAGAGCGAUGAGCCCCUGCCGUUAAACCCCCAACUUUCCAAGGUUGACCUCAGAUCAGGUAGGAAUACCCGCUGAACUUAAGCAUAUCAAUAGCGGAGA
rnacentral:misc_RNA from 1 species